CAAGACUUUUCCCCUACAACACCUCCUUUUGUCAGUAUUUCUGACAACAAUAAUACAAAACAAACAAUUAAACAUAGCAUACCUUAUAACUGCUAUGCAUACAACCUAUAUGAGAAUACAUCUGGUAUAUACUGUUCAUACACUGUGGUGGUUCAUUGAAGUCAAUUUUUAGACUUUUAGUGUUCUUAGGAUAGAACAGAACAGGUUUAGAAGAACUUGCCUUUAGAAAAGAGUAAGACAAUAAGGAGGUACAGCAAGAACAACAGCAACAAAUGAUGUUAGGUAGACAAUAGAUGACUAGAAGGAUGACACCAACACAAACGAGGACAUACAGAAUGGUAUGGAAAAUCUUAGCACUGAUAUCUUGGAACCAUGUGGAUAGGUCCAACCAGGGGAAGAUGGAUUGUUCCUUGUGAUUGGUUAAAAAGGUGUCCUUCCUCUGCUAAACCUUUACCAGGUGCUUGUCAUCAAUGUAAUUACAACUGUACCUAACCCUCCUUGACUAGCUGGAAGAUAAUCUAACACUAAACAAUGCGGCAGAACUUCCUUCUUCAAUUGUUGGAGUUCAUGACUUACUAUCUUCAAACUGUUGACAUAUUCAUUAGUAAUGUUAUCAAGCAACAACAUACUAGACAUAAGGCUAAAGGCUUUGUUAAUGCAAUAUCUAUUUACCUCAGGGGAAGUUAAAGAGAGCUCUUGCCUUACCUUUAAAGAUGCACGCUUCAUUAGGAAGUGUGCUGGAAUCUGAGCUAUCUUAAUAUCUUUAGCUUCCAUAUACCAGGUGGGAUGAAGCAAUUUAGCAAUCAUACAUACACCAUGGGAGCCUUUUGGUAGCCACGGAUAGGCACAUUCACCACAAACAAAGUAAUAAGCGGAACUGUUGAUACAAAGGCCAUCAGAACAUAAGUGUACCAACUUACCAAUAUCCUUGGGCGACACCGUUUUAUGAAACUGGAGAAGUGUCAAAUUACCUCAAGGCCUGUUAACUAUGUCCUGACAGGAUAGAGAUUCUGCUACGUAUGUCAUACUGCGAGCUGACAAAGGAUAAUGUGUACAUAUCCAUCAAUCAGUAAUAGUGUGGAUGCUGCUAUAACAUACAUUUUAACAAAAGCAUUAUCAUUAGGCUCAAACAGUUAUG